rnacentral:tRNA from 1 species
GGGGUGGGGGCUCAGUGGUAGAGCACUUGCCUAGCAUGUGUGAGGCACUGGGUUCUAUUCUCAGCACCACG